GCAUCGCGUAGCGAGGCGGUGCGUGCAGGGCAUGCUCAGCCCGCAGCAGUUCGCGGGUACUGGAGGUUCUAGUCCGCCGCCAUGCC
rnacentral:tRNA from 1 species